rnacentral:hammerhead_ribozyme from 1 species
ACCCAGAUGACGAGUCCCCAAUAAGACGAAACGCGCAUCAUGUAU